rnacentral:rRNA from 1 species
AUUGAACGCUGGCGGCAGGCUUAACACAUGCAAGUCGAGCGGGGGAAGGUAGCUUGCUACCGGACCUAGCGGCGGACGGGUGAGUAAUGCUUAGGAAUCUGCCUAUUAGUGGGGGACAACAUCUCGAAAGGGAUGCUAAUACCGCAUACGUCCUACGGGAGAAAGCGGGGGAUCUUCGGACCUUGCGCUAAUAGAUGAGCCUAAGUCGGAUUAGCUAGUUGGUGGGGUAAAGGCCUAACAAGGGGACGAUCUGUAGCGGGGCUGAGAGGAUGAUCCGCCACACUGAGACUGAGACACGGCCCAGACUCCUACGGGAGGCAGCAGUGGGGAAUAUUGGACAAUGGGGGGAACCCUGAUCCAGCCAUGCCGCGUGUGUGAAGAAGGCCUUAUGGUUGUAAAGCACUUUAAGCGAGGAGGAGGCUACUCUAGUUAAUACCUAGGGAUAGUGGACGUUACUCGCAGAAUAAGCACCGGCUAACUCUGUGCCAGCAGCCGCCGUAAUAC